AACCUUCAAACUUCCAUCACGGCUGCAGCUUCUGAGAGGAGAGCAUCUUCUAGGCCUCAAGGAUGCUGUAGUUACACAAUUCCCAAGACACAGAAUCAUUGGGACAGGAAAGGAAUUCAUUCUACUGUGUCCCCAGAAUAUGAAUCAUGUUGCAAUGUACUGGUAUCGACAGAACCCAGGACUUGGACUGAAGCUAGUCUAUUAUUCACCUGGCACUGGGAGCAUUGAAAAAGGAGAUAUCUCUGAGAGGUAUCAUGUUUCUUGAAAUACUAUAGCAUCUUUUCUCCUGACCCUGAAGUCUGCUAGCACCAACCAGACAUGUGUGUAUCUCUGCGCCAGCAGUUCAUCCACAGCACUGCAUAGCUGCCACAUCCUCUCCACAUUAAAAAAAGGUGCAUACCAAAGAGGAAAAGCCUGCCCUCAAAAUUCCUCACCGCAAAUAAGAGAAGUUACCUCACAAGUAUUGACAAAAAGAGCCAAACUCUGUAAAAUAUUUGAAGAGAUUUAUUCUGAGCCAAACAUGAGUGAGCAUGGCCAGAGGCAGAGGCUCAAGGGCCUAAGAACGUGUGUCCAAGGUGGUCAGCCUACAGCUUGGUUUUAUACCUUUUUGGAGACAUCAGACAUCAAUCAAUACAUGUAAGCUGUACAUUGUUUCAAUUUGGAAAGGUGGGACAACUCAAAGAGGGGGCUUCCGGGUCACAGGUGGAUUCAAAGAUUUUUCAGACUGGCAGUUGGUUGAAAGAGUUAAGUUAUCGUCUAAAGAUUUGAAAUCAAUAUAAAGAAGUAUCUGGGUUGUGGGGACCAAGGUUCUUAUUAUGCAGAUGAAGCCUCCAGGGAGCAGGCUUCAGAGAGAAUAGAUUGUAUUUCUUAAUCAAACUUUUAAAAGGUGCCAGACUCAUAAUUCUCUUCUGGAUCAGGGGGGAAACCUGAAAAGGAAAGAGAAUUAUCUACAGAAUGUAGAUUUCCCUCAUGAUAGACAGCUUUGUAGGGCCAUUUAAAAAUAUGUCGGAAAAUACAUUUUGGGGUAAAAUAUUGAUUUUUUUCAGGGCCUGCUAUGAGUCAUGUUGGGUCUUAUUGCUACAAAGGGUCUGUUUUGUCACUCAUAAGGUUUCCAUUGUAAUGUUAAUGCUGGUUGGUUGUGCCUGAAUUCUAAAGUGAAGAGGGUAUAAUGAGGCAUGUCUGACCCCACUUCCCACUAAGAACUGAACUGGUUUUUCAUGUUAACUUUGGAAUGCUCUUGG
rnacentral:lncRNA from 1 species